UACGUAGGGUGCGAGCGUUAAUCGGAAUUACUGGGCGUAAAGCGUGCGCAGGCGGUUCGUUGUGUCGGCGGUGAAAGCCCCGGGCUCAACCUGGGAAUGGCCGUUGAAACUGGCGAACUGGAGUGUGGCAGAGGGGGGUGGAAUUCCGCGUGUAGCAGUGAAAUGCGUAGAGAUGUGGAGGAACACCGAUGGCGAACGGCAGCCCCCUGGGUUAACACUGACGCUCAGGCGACGAAAGCGUGGGGAGCAAACAGG
rnacentral:rRNA from 1 species